rnacentral:rRNA from 1 species
UACGUAGGGUGCGAGCGUUGUCCGGAAUUAUUGGGCGUAAAGAGCUUGUAGGCGGCCGGUUGCGUCUGCUGUGAAAUCCCGCGGCUUAACCGUGGGCUUGCAGCUGAUACGGGCGGGCUGGAGUUCGGGUAGGGGAGACUGGAAUUCCUGGUGUAGCGGUGAAAUGCGCAGAUAUCAGGAGGAACACCGGUGGCGAAGGCGGGUCUCUGGGCCGAUACUGACGCUGAGGAGCGAAAGCGUGGGGAGCGAACAGG